AGCACCGGCUAACUACGUGCCAGCAGCCGCGGUAAUACGUAGGGUGCAAGCGUUAAUCGGAAUUACUGGGCGUAAAGCGUGCGCAGGCGGUUGGAUAAGACAGAUGUGAAAUCCCCGGGCUUAACCUGGGAACCGCAUUUGUGACUGUCUGACUGGAGUAUGUCAGAGGGGGGUGGAAUUCCACGUGUAGCAGUGAAAUGCGUAGAUAUGUGGAAGAACACCGAUGGCGAAGGCAGCCUCCUGGGACAUAACUGACGCUCAGGCACGAAAGCGUGGGGAGCAAACAGGAUUAGAUACCCUGGUAGUCCACGCCCUAAACGAUGUCUACUGGUUGUUGGGGAGUUAAAUCCUCAGUAACGAAGCCAACGCGUGAAGUAGACCGCCUGGGGAGUACGGUCGCAAGAUUAAAACUCAAAGGAAUUGACGGGGACCCGCACAAGCGGUGGAUGAUGUGGAUUAAUUCGAUGCAACGCGAAAAACCUUACCUACCCUUGACAUGUCAGGAAGCUCUUGUAAUGAGAGCGUGCCCGCAAGGGAGCCUGAACACAGGUGCUGCAUGGCUGUCGUCAGCUCGUGUCGUGAGAUGUUGGGUUAAGUCCCGCAACGAGCGCAACCCUUGUGAUAUGUUACCAGUAUCAAGUUAGGGACUCAUAUCAGACUGCCGGUGACAAACCGGAGGAAGGUGGGGAUGACGUCAAAUCAUCAUGCCCCUUACGUCUAGGGCUACAGGCGUGCUAUAAUGGCUGGUACAAUGAGACGCAAUACUGUGAAGUGGAGCAAAUCUAUAAAGCCAGUCUCAGUUCGGAUUGAAGUCUGCAACUCGACUUCAUGAAGCUAGAAUCGCUAGUAAUCCCAAAUCAGAAUGUUGGGGUGAAUACGUUCCCGGGUGUUGUACACACCGCCCGUCAUGCCAUGAAAGUUUGUAAUACCCGAAUGUGGUAGCCUAACCUUUUAGGAGGGGGCCAUUUAAGGUAGGACAAGUGAUUGGGGUAAAGUCGUAACAAGGUAUCCCUACGAGAACGUGGGGAUG
rnacentral:rRNA from 1 species